UUAAGUUAUUAAGGGCGCACGGUGGAUGCCUUGGCACUAGAAGCCGAUGAAGGACGUUACUAACGACGAUAUGCUUUGGGGAGCUGUAAGUAAGCUUUGAUCCAGAGAUUUCCGAAUGGGGAAACCCAGCAUGAGUUAUGUCAUGUUAUCGAUAUGUGAAUACAUAGCAUAUCAGAAGGCACACCCGGAGAACUGAAACAUCUUAGUACCCGGAGGAAGAGAAAGAAAAUUCGAUUCCCUUAGUAGCGGCGAGCGAAAUGGGAAGAGCCCAAACCAACAAGCUUGCUUGUUGGGGUUGUAGGACACUCUACGGAGUUACAAAGGACGACAUUAGACGAAUCAUCUGGAAAGAUGAAUCAAAGAAGGUAAUAAUCCUGUAGUCGAAAAUGUUGUCUCUCUUGAGUGGAUCCUGAGUACGACGGAGCACGUGAAAUUCCGUCGGAAUCUGGGAGGACCAUCUCCUAAGGCUAAAUACUCUCUAGUGACCGAUAGUGAACCAGUACCGUGAGGGAAAGGUGAAAAGCACCCCGGAAGGGGAGUGAAAUAGAACCUGAAACCGUGUGCUUACAAGUAGUCAGAGCCCGUUAAUGGGUGAUGGCGUGCCUUUUGUAGAAUGAACCGGCGAGUUACGAUUUGAUGCAAGGUUAAGCAGUAAAUGUGGAGCCGUAGCGAAAGCGAGUCUGAAUAGGGCGUUUAGUAUUUGGUCGUAGACCCGAAACCAGGUGAUCUACCCUUGGUCAGGUUGAAGUUCAGGUAACACUGAAUGGAGGACCGAACCGACUUACGUUGAAAAGUGAGCGGAUGAACUGAGGGUAGCGGAGAAAUUCCAAUCGAACCUGGAGAUAGCUGGUUCUCUCCGAAAUAGCUUUAGGGCUAGCCUCAAGUGAUGAUUAUUGGAGGUAGAGCACUGUUUGGACGAGGGGCCGGUUACCGAAUUCAGACAAACUCCGAAUGCCAAUUAAUUUAACUUGGGAGUCAGAACAUGGGUGAUAAGGUCCGUGUUCGAAAGGGAAACAGCCCAGACCACCAGCUAAGGUCCCAAAAUAUAUGUUAAGUGGAAAAGGAUGUGGCGUUGCCCAGACAACUAGGAUGUUGGCUUAGAAGCAGCCAUCAUUUAAAGAGUGCGUAAUAGCUCACUAGUCGAGUGACACUGCGCCGAAAAUGUACCGGGGCUAAACAUAUUACCGAAGCUGUGGAUUGUCCUUUGGACAAUGGUAGGAGAGCGUUCUAAGGGCGUUGAAGCAUGAUCGUAAGGACAUGUGGAGCGCUUAGAAGUGAGAAUGCCGGUGUGAGUAGCGAAAGACGGGUGAGAAUCCCGUCCACCGAUUGACUAAGGUUUCCAGAGGAAGGCUCGUCCGCUCUGGGUUAGUCGGGUCCUAAGCUGAGGCCGACAGGCGUAGGCGAUGGAUAACAGGUUGAUAUUCCUGUACCACCUAUAAUCGUUUUAAUCGAUGGGGGGACGCAGUAGGAUAGGCGAAGCGUGCGAUUGGAUUGCACGUCUAAGCAGUAAGGCUGAGUAUUAGGCAAAUCCGGUACUCGUUAAGGCUGAGCUGUGAUGGGGAGAAGACAUUGUGUCUUCGAGUCGUUGAUUUCACACUGCCGAGAAAAGCCUCUAGAUAGAAAAUAGGUGCCCGUACCGCAAACCGACACAGGUAGUCAAGAUGAGAAUUCUAAGGUGAGCGAGCGAACUCUCGUUAAGGAACUCGGCAAAAUGACCCCGUAACUUCGGGAGAAGGGGUGCUCUUUAGGGUUAACGCCCAGAAGAGCCGCAGUGAAUAGGCCCAAGCGACUGUUUAUCAAAAACACAGGUCUCUGCUAAACCGUAAGGUGAUGUAUAGGGGCUGACGCCUGCCCGGUGCUGGAAGGUUAAGAGGAGUGGUUAGCUUCUGCGAAGCUACGAAUCGAAGCCCCAGUAAACGGCGGCCGUAUAACGGUCCUAAGGUAGCGAAAUUCCUUGUCGGGUAAGUUCCGACCCGCACGAAAGGCGUAACGAUUUGGGCACUGUCUCAACGAGAGACUCGGUGAAAUCAUAGUACCUGUGAAGAUGCAGGUUACCCGCGACAGGACGGAAAGACCCCGUGGAGCUUUACUGUAGCCUGAUAUUGAAAUUCGGCACAGCUUGUACAGGAUAGGUAGGAGCCUUUGAAACGUGAGCGCUAGCUUACGUGGAGGCGCUGGUGGGAUACUACCCUAGCUGUGUUGGCUUUCUAACCCGCACCACUUAUCGUGGUGGGAGACAGUGUCAGGCGGGCAGUUUGACUGGGGCGGUCGCCUCCUAAAAGGUAACGGAGGCGCUCAAAGGUUCCCUCAGAAUGGUUGGAAAUCAUUCAUAGAGUGUAAAGGCAUAAGGGAGCUUGACUGCGAGACCUACAAGUCGAGCAGGGUCGAAAGACGGACUUAGUGAUCCGGUGGUUCCGCAUGGAAGGGCCAUCGCUCAACGGAUAAAAGCUACCCCGGGGAUAACAGGCUUAUCUCCCCCAAGAGUUCACAUCGACGGGGAGGUUUGGCACCUCGAUGUCGGCUCAUCGCAUCCUGGGGCUGUAGUCGGUCCCAAGGGUUGGGCUGUUCGCCCAUUAAAGCGGUACGCGAGCUGGGUUCAGAACGUCGUGAGACAGUUCGGUCCCUAUCCGUCGUGGGCGUAGGAAAUUUGAGAGGAGCUGUCCUUAGUACGAGAGGACCGGGAUGGACAUACCUCUGGUGUACCAGUUGUCGUGCCAACGGCAUAGCUGGGUAGCUAUGUGUGGACGGGAUAAGUGCUGAAAGCAUCUAAGCAUGAAGCCCCCCUCAAGAUGAGAUUUCCCAACUUCGGUUAUAAGAUCCCUCAAAGAUGAUGAGGUUAAUAGGUUCGAGGUGGAAGCAUGGUGACAUGUGGAGCUGACGAAUACUAAUCGAUCGAAGACUUAAU
rnacentral:rRNA from 1 species